GAAGCAGUGAACUACUAGCUGCUGGUAUGAGGGUGUUGAUUUCCUUAAUUCUAGGUAAGCACUUUUCAGUGUCACACUGAAAAAUGUUUGCCUCUGUGCAGCUGUAGUUUUCUGUGUUUAAGUGCCUUGUGCAAAGGAAAUCUACUCCAUUCAGAGGAAGUGAGUUUUCACCAUAUGGCUUUUGCAAAUCAGGCUUCAGGGCUCAUAAUUGUCCACACUGUAUCCACUUGAAGUACACUGAAAGGAUUGUGUUUGAUUGUCUUAGUUUGUUGUAAGGGUGUGUGUGUGAUUGUAAUACACAGGAAUGCAGCGUAUGCCAGUCUUGCCCUUAGCCCUGUGUUGUUGCCUCACAGCUGUAGCCUGUCUUCAGCAGAGGCACCGGUCAGGCGGGCCAUCUCGUGGGACCUGGUGGCAAUGACGGCCUCAUUUUCAGGCGGGGGUCACAGCUGUGCUCCAUGCCUUAGCUUCCUCACCUCUUACUGUUUUUCCCAGAUAAAAAGUCACUUUUACUGGAGCCCUCUCAACACUGUAGGUUUGUAGAUACUAGUUUCCAAAUACGAGUGUGAAAAUGGUUCUCCUGUGGUAAUGGACUGUGAGCAGGCGACUGUAGGGUGGUCUAAUUUGUCAUGGUGGACGAGGGCUUCUGAAGGAAUUUGAGUCAGACCCAAAGCCAGGUUGGAGUUUUUAAAUUUCUUUUAACCCAGAGAGUGUUUGACUGAACACACAGAGCUCUCCCUUCAUUUGAAUGUUUUUAAUGCCCUGAUUCACAUUCAUAGACUAACCUUCACUAAAAACCUCAAAUGUUCUUGAUAGCGUGUGCCUCAACAGCAUUUGUUAAGGGUUGGGAAAGCAAUUGCUUUUCUGGUUUGUUGAGCAGACUUUCUUAGAGGGAGCGUACCUCAACUUCUAAGAAAACCUUGUGUUCUCACAACCUCCCUCUCUAACCAGCACUGUUGCUAUCUCUAUUGUUUCUUGGUUUCUUGUAUCACACCAAGGUAACAGAGUUAUAUUUUGUGAGGAAGAAAACUCAGAUUUUUUUGUUGUUGUUGUUGUUUUUUGUUUUUUUUUAGCAGCCAAGUCCUCAGCUGUUCCUCAAAAUCUAACAAAAUGUAUUUUUUAUUGCUCUGUUUGGCAGAUUGUUAUGUGGGCAUGAGUGUAACAUGAAUUUCAAUGUAUGAAUGCCGCUUCUCAGACAUAACAUUUUAAUCUGCGUCACACAAACUGCUUUUGAUGCACCCACUUUGAUCCUGUUGAACUGUCAGUAUUCUGAGUCACAGUAGUAUCUAAUGCACCAGUAAUUUGCUUUAUAAGAUUUAUGUAUCAUCAUUGUUUUUAACCUGAUGUAUAUAUUGGACUGCAGAAAGGUUAAACCAGCAUCAUAUAGAAAGAUAGGGUUUAUUUAUAGUUAAAUAACUAUCAAGCUAUUUCACUUUCCUGGUGUCCCAUAGUAUCCACAGUGACCGUCCCACAUAUCUGGAAGGAAAUCUGUCUCUUCACCCACAGAGAUAUACACUUUCACUUGCUGUUUGCUGUAAACCUGUUUAGCUCUAGCUGUCUUCUCCCAUCUUCCAUGGUCAUCUAAUGUUUUUUUUUUCCAUUUUCAUGACAUUUAGUUCAUAUUAGAUUGUAUUUGAUUAAUUGCUUUAUUUAUUUGAUAGCAGAUCUGUGCCAAGGGAAAAUACCCUUUUAUUAAAGUAUGAACCUGUUCCUAUUAAACUGCAUGACUUCUGG
ensembl:lncRNA